CCUACGGGUGGCUGCAGUAGGGAAUAUUGGUCAAUGGACGAAAGUCUGAACCAGCCAUGCCGCGUGAAGGAUGAAGGCCCUCUGGGUUGUAAACUUCUUUUAUACGGGAAUAAACCUCUGAUCGUGAUCGGAGCUGAAGGUACCGUGUGAAUAAGGAUCGGCUAACUCCGUGCCAGCAGCCGCGGUAAUACGGAGGAUCCUAGCGUUGUCCGGAUUUAUUGGGUUUAAAGGGUGCGUAGGCGGACUACUAAGUCAGAGGUGAAAGCCGGCAGCUU
rnacentral:rRNA from 1 species